UACGUAGGGUCCGAGCGUUGUCCGGAGUUACUGGGCGUAAAGAGCGCGCAGGCGGUCGUUCAAGUCGCGUGUGAAAGCCCCCGGCUCAACUGGGGAGGGUCACGCGAUACUGAUCGACUCGAAGGCAGGAGAGGGAAGUGGAAUUCCCGGUGUAGUGGUGAAAUGCGUAGAUAGUCGGGAGGAACACCAGUGGCGAAGGCGACUUCCUGGCCUGUUCUUGACGCUGAGGCGCGAAAGCUAGGGGAGCAAACGGG
rnacentral:rRNA from 1 species